rnacentral:rRNA from 1 species
AUGAACGCUGGCGGCGUGCCUCAUACAUGCCAGUCGAGCGAACGGACGAGAAGCUUGCUUCUCUGAUGUUAGCGGCGGACGGGUGAGUAACACGUGGAUAACCUACCUAUAAGACUGGGAUAACUUCGGGAGACCGGAGCUAAUACCGGAUGAUAUUUUGAACCGCAUGGUUCAAAAGUGAAAGACGGUCUUGCUGUCACUUAUAGAUGGAUCCGCGCUGCAUUAGCUAGUUGGUAAGGUAACGGCUUACCAAGGCAACGAUGCAUAGCCGACCUGAGAGGGUGAUCGGCCACACUGGAACUGAGACACGGUCCAGACUCCUACGGGAGGCAGCAGUAGGGAAUCUUCCGCAAUGGGCGAAAGCCUGACGGAGCAACGCCGCGUGAGUGAUGAAGGUCUUCGGAUCGUAAAACUCUGUUAUUAGGGAAGAACAUAUGUGUAAGUAACUGUGCACAUCUUGACGGUACCUAAUCAGAAAGCCACGGCUAACUACGUG